UUAAAUUGAAGAGUUUGAUCAUGGCUCAGAUUGAACGCUGGCGGCAGGCCUAACACAUGCAAGUCGAACGGUAACAGGAAGCAGCUUGCUGCUUUGCUGACGAGUGGCGGACGGGUGAGUAAUGUCUGGGAAACUGCCUGAUGGAGGGGGAUAACUACUGGAAACGGUGGCUAAUACCGCAUAACGUCGCAAGACCAAAGAGGGGGACCUUCGGGCCUCUUGCCAU
rnacentral:rRNA from 2 species